rnacentral:rRNA from 1 species
GCACAAGCAGCGGAGCGUGUGGUUUAAUUCGAUGCUACACGAGAACCUUACCAGGGUUUGACAUGCAAGUGGUGGAAACUGAAAGGGACGACCCUUCGGGAGCUUGCACAGGUGCUGCAUGGCUGUCGUCAGCUCGUGUCGUGAGAUGUUCGGUUAAGUCCGCUAACGAGCGCAACCCUCACUGUGUGUUAUAUGUGUCACACGGGACUGCCGGUUUUAAGCCGGAGGAAGGUGGGAUGACGUCAAGUCAGCAUGGCCUUUAUAUCCUGGGCUACACACACGCUACAAUGGUCGGUACAAUAGGUUGCCAAGCCGCGAGGCGGAGCCAAUCCAUAAAAGCCGGCCUCAGUUCAGAUUGUAGGCUGCAACUCGCCUGCAUGAAGAUGGAGUUGCUAGUAACCGCAGGUCGGCAAUACUGCGGUGAAUACGUUCCCGGGUCUU